rnacentral:rRNA from 1 species
UACGUUCCCGGGCCUUGUACACACCGCCCGUCACACCAUGGGAGUGGGUUGCAAAAGAAGUAGGUAGCUUAACCUUCGGGAGGGCGCUUACCACUUUGUGAUUCAUGACUGGGGUGAAGUCGUAACAAGGUAACCGUAGGGGAACCUGCGGUUGGAUCACCUCCUUACCUUAAAGAA